ACACUCAUGCUCUUUCCCCCCUCUUUUGUCACUUGCGUUUUUUGUUUGUUGUUGCGUUUUCGUUUUCAGGAUUUGAGCUAUAUUUCACCUGCGUUUGAUUGAUCUUUGUGUUUUUGGUUUUAUUCAAAUAUCUUAUGCUUGCUUUGUCCUCUUUUUCUUUGCCUGCUUUCUACAUUUAUUAGAGAAGGGGGGCUUGUAUGGGUUGUUGCGCCAUUGGAUUAUUGAUUCCUGCCUCCUCUGCUUUGAGUUCUUUUGGCGGGUUUUGGUAUUUGAUUUUUUAAAAUACCGAAAAAUCAAUGUUAUGCUUUUUUAAAUACCGAACCACUUGCCAAUCGCGCCAACUCGAUCCACAAUUAGGAUCAUGUCUAAUUCUUUCUUUUGGCUAUCAAGAAAAAAGAGUAAAGUUUUAUCUUCUUCUUCUUUAUAUAUAUAUAUAUAUAUAUAUAUGUUGUUCUACCUUUCUCUUUGGUUAUGAAGAAAAAACCGAUGCAUUGUUCAUGUACAUGAAACUUACAGGUUUAGAAGAGAUGCCGUCGGCAACAACAACAACAUCAUCGUGAAGGUCAUAGCAAAAUGGUCAGAUGGUAUUAUUAGCAUCGAUCGGAAAUUGCCACAUCAACAACCGUAUACUGUGCCUUUUUACGACUAGUAUGUAACAACUAUAUCAGCUAUGCUUCGCUUCCAACUUGCAUUUUCUUUUCUUUUGCUUUUUAGCAGUGUGAAAUAUUGAUUUGUUGCUCAAGAACACAUUUCAACAGAGUUUUUUCUGAUAAAAUUAAUGGAGUGUUGUAAUUGAAGUUAAAUAAAAUAUUAUUGUUCUGCAUUCAAGAACUAUAAAGCUACCUUUUGCAAUGACAAUCCGUUGUUUCUUUUU